GACGAACGCUGGCGGCGUGCUUAACACAUGCAAGUCGAGCGGAAAGGCCCUUCGGGGUACUCGAGCGGCGAACGGGUGAGUAACACGUGAGUAAUCUGCCCUUCACUCUGGGAUAGCCACCGGAAACGGUGAUUAAUACCGGAUACGACCACCGUGGGCAUCCGCUGGUGGUGGAAACUUUUUUGGGUGGGGGAGGUGCUCGCGGCCUAUCAGCUUGUUGGUGGGGUAAUGGCCUACCAAGGCUUCGACGGGUAGCCGGCCUGAGAGGGUGACCGGGCGCACUGGGACUGAGGCACGGCACAGACUCCUACGGGAGGCAGCAGUGGGGAAUAUUGGGCAAUGGGCGGAAGCCUGAACCAGCAACGCCGCGUGAGGGAUGACAGCCUUCGGGUUGUAAACCUCUUUCAGCACCGACGAAGCGCAAGUGACGGUAGGUGCAGAAGAAGGACCGGCCAACUACGUGCCAGCCGCCGCUGUAAAAC
rnacentral:rRNA from 1 species